AGAUUAGAAAUAAGAGCACAAGUCGCAGAUGCCUUCUUAUCCAAGUUCCAGCUGACUUCUGAUGAAAUGGGUCUCCUCCGAGGCACUAGAGAAGGACCUAUUACUGAGGAUUUUUUCAAGGCAUUGGGAAGAGUAAAACGGAUUCAUAACGAUGUCAAAGUUCUCUUGCGUACAAACCAACAAACAGCAGGUUUAGAAAUUAUGGAACAGAUGGCCUUGCUUCAAGAAACAGCUUAUGAAAGGCUUUAUCGGUGGGCUCAAAGUAAGUG